AGAUUGAACGCUGGCGGCACGCCUUACACAUGCAAGUCGAACGGCAGCACGGGAGCAAUCCUGGUGGCGAGUGGCGAACGGGUGAGUAAUACAUCGGAACGUGCCCAAUCGUGGGGGAUAACGCAGCGAAAGCUGUGCUAAUACCGCAUAAGAUCUACGGAUGAAAGCAGGGGGAUCGCAAGACCUUGCGCGAAUGGAGCGGCCGAUGGCAGAUUAGGUAGUUGGUGAGGUAAAGGCUCACCAAGCCUUCGAUCUGUAGCUGGUCUGAGAGGACGACCAGCCACACGUGGGACGGAGACACGGCCCAGACUCCGUACGGGAGCAGCAGUGGGGUAAUUUGGACAAGUGGGACGAAAGCC
rnacentral:rRNA from 1 species